ensembl:lncRNA
CUCCUUCCCUGUCUCACGCUACUCCCCCCUCCUCCUCCUCCUCCUUCAUCCCAAAGCUGUCAUCCUGAGCGCUGCUGAGACGACGGACGGCUCAAUCCCUAAACGCCCGGAUGAGAGCAGCAGCAGGCGACAUUCAGGGCAACAUGGUCGCAUGAAGUCCGAAGCGCAGACGGGGGGGACAACCACCAUUCCUGAAGGAGGGGAAGCGAGCGACGCGGCCACUGCUGGAAUCUGACAUUUUUCCCUUUCGCCGCAGCCCACGUAGAAACGGUUCUGGGAGAAUACAGGCGGAGAUCUAGAGGCGUGGAGGCGAAGAGGAACGGCACAUUUCACCCCCCUCCUUCUCCACGGUGUCCUAUUUCGUCGAGGUGGGGAUGAUUCAUACUGAAGGUCAUGCAUUGAAUGAAAUCCAUUUCAUCCGAGCUCUGUUCAACGUGCACGCUCACGAGUCUCUGGGGCGUAACUGUGUUCU